AUGAGUGUCCCUGUGGAACAAAGCUUGGGGUUUUGCAAAAUCCAGUCUCCAAGUCAAAGGAGUUCCUCCCUGGGCCUCAAGGUUGCAGCAGUGCAUAUUAAUGGGGGUGGUGGGGAGAGCCGGACAAAGGGGCUUCUCUGUGUUCCGGUGCCCAGUCUCUUUUUUGGGGACAGAGAGGACUUUGUUUUCUUACACUGGAGAAGGAAGCUUGGGUACAAGGUCACACCUGAACUGAAAAUGGAAAAAAAAAGUCUUAAGGUUCCUGAGCAAAAGAGAAAAGGAGGUUUGACCAUGAGGCUUGGAGAAGGGAGAAGGGCUGGGGAGUACGGCAAGCAUCAAAUUGGAUAUUUCUCUGGAAACACUGACAGUCUGAAUUCCCUCAAUCUGUGUCUCAAUCCCAAACUGAAAGGACCAUCUUCCUGAGGCUCUUGGUGAUGCUGACGCUACCAGUUUGAGGACCACACUUUGAGAAACAAGGUUCUAGACUUUGACCUUCACUGCACAGGCUUACAAGACUG
rnacentral:lncRNA from 1 species